CGCACCGCCUAGACGGAGCAAGACCGCGUGGGGGAGGAAAGCCUUUGGGUUGUAAACCCCUUUUCUCAGGGAAGAAGAAAGUGACGGUACCUGAGGAAUCAGCCUCGGCUAACUCCGUGCCAGCAGCCGCGGUAAUACGGAGGAGGCAAGCGUUAUCCGGAAUGAUUGGGCGUAAAGCGUUCGUAGGUGGCAAUUCAAGUCUGCUGUCAAAGACAGUAGCUCAACUACUGCAAGGCAGUGGAAACUGAAUAGCUAGAGUGCGGUAGGGGCAGAGGGAAUUCCCGGUGUAGCGGUGAAAUGCGUAGAGAUCGGGAAGAACACCGGUGGCGAAAGCGCUCUGCUGGGCCGCAACUGACACUGAGGGACGAAAGCUAGGGGAGCGAAUGGGAUUAGAUACCCCAGUAGUC
rnacentral:rRNA from 1 species